UGUCCCUGACCUUGGAAGAAUGGCACCUGAUUGGUGCUGUGCAUCUCAUAUCAGCCAGGGACAAAGCACAUUUGUUGAUAACAGCUUGGCCUUGGGUCUGUGCCCAUGCCUGCUUCAUGCCUUGGACACAUGG
rnacentral:snoRNA from 1 species